UAGGGAAUCUUCCGCAAUGGACGCAAGUCUGACGGAGCAACGCCGCGUUAGUGAAGAAGGAUUUCGGUUCGUAAAACUCUGUUGUUAGAGAAGCACAGCGCAUAGAGCAACUGUUAUGCGUGUGACGGUAUCUAACCAGAAAGCCACGGCUAACUACGUGCCAGCAGCCGCGGUAAUACGUAGUUGGCAAGCGUUGUCCGGAUUUAUUCGGCGUAAAGCGAGCGCAGGCGGUCAAUUAAGUCUGAUGUGAAAGCCCCCGGCUCAACCGGGGAGGGUCAUUGGAAACUGGUUGACUUGAGUACAGAAGAGGAGAGUUGAAUUCCAUGUGUAGCGGUGAAAUACGUAGUUAUAUGGAGGAACACCAGUGGAGAAGGCGACUCUCUGGUCUGUAACUGACGCUGAGGCUCGAAAGCGUGGGUAGCAAACAGG
rnacentral:rRNA from 1 species